rnacentral:rRNA from 1 species
GAUUAAGUUAUUAAGGGCGCACGGUGGAUGCCUUGGCACUAGAAGCCGAUGAAGGACGUUACUAACGACGAUAUGCUUUGGGGAGCUGUAAGUAAGCUUUGAUCCAGAGAUUUCCGAAUGGGG